rnacentral:lncRNA from 1 species
CUUCGCCAAUCGAUGAUAUCCGUAAUGGAUUGUCUUCUUAUUCUCGCAGUCGGGGCAUCUCUGCCGGUUGAGGGCACCGGCCUUCCUCCGGUGGAGCUCUGCCUUGUUCUGACACCAACAACAAGCACUGAUUACCUGCGUUGCGUUUGCGUGACGCAUCCACAGAUCCGACAGAGUUUGGAUUCCGCACAAGGGUUCUUCAACCCUUAAAUAGCCGCGUAUUCAAACUAGCCGAUCAUACGCUCCUUGCCUUCGUCACAUCCGUUCCAUCCAAGCAGUGUGGAAGAGGAAGUGAGAUUUGGCAGAUUACUGGUUCCGGUUCAAUCUUCUGAACCAACCGCGAAACCUUCGCCAAUCGAUGAUAUCCGUAAUGGAUUGUCUUCUUAUUCUCGCAGUCGGGGCAUCUCUGCCGGUUGAGGGCACCGGCCUUCCUCCGGUGGAGCUCUGCCUUGUUCUGACACCAACAACAAGCACUGAUUACCUGCGUUGCGUUUGCGUGACGCAUCCACAGAUCCGACAGGGUUUGGAUUCCGCACAAGGGUUCUUCAACCCUUAAAUAGCCGCGUAUUCAAACUAGCCGAUCAUACGCUCCUUGCCUUCGUCACAUCCGUUCCAUCCAAGCAGUGUGGAAGAGGAAGUGAGAUUUGGCAGAUUACUGGUUCCGGUUCAAUCUUCUGAACCAACCGCGAAACCUUCGCCAAUCGAUGAUAUCCGUAAUGGAUUGUCUUCUUAUUCUCGCAGUCGGGGCAUCUCUGCCGGUUGAGGGCACCGGCCUUCCUCCGGUGGAGCUCUGCCUUGUUCUGACACCAACAACAAGCACUGAUUACCUGCGUUGCGUUUGCGUGACGCAUCCACAGAUCCGACAGAGUUUGGAUUCCGCACAAGGGUUCUUCAACCCUUAAAUAGCCGCGUAUUCAAACUAGCCGAUCAUACGCUCCUUGCCUUCGUCACAUCCGUUCCAUCCAAGCAGUGUAGAAGAGGAAGUGAGAUUUGGCAGAUUACUGGUUCCGGUUCAAUCUUCUGAACCAACCGCGAAACCUUCGCCAAUCGAUGAUAUCCGUAAUGGAUUGUCUUCUUAUUCUCGCAGUCGGGGCAUCUCUGCCGGUUGAGGGCACCGGCCUUCCUCCGGUGGAGCUCUGCCUUGUUCUGACACCAACAACAAGCACUGAUUACCUGCGUUGCGUUUGCGUGACGCAUCCACAGAUCCGAUAGAGUUUGGAUUCCGCACAAGGGUUCUUCAACCCUUAAAUAGCCGCGUAUUCAAACUAGCCGAUCAUACGCUCCUUGCCUUCGUCACAUCCGUUCCAUCCAAGCAGUGUGGAAGAGGAAGUGAGAUUUGGCAGAUUACUGGUUCCGGUUCAAUCUUCUGAACCAACCGCGAAACCUUCGCCAACCGAUGAUAUCCGUAAUGGAUUGUCUUCUUAUUCUCGCAGUCGGGGCAUCUCUGCCGGUUGAGGGCACCGGCCUUCCUCCGGUGGAGCUCUGCCUUGUUCUGACACCAACAAGCACUGAUUACCUGCGUUGCGUUUGCGUGACGCAUCCACAGAUCCGACAGAGUUUGGAUUUCGUCAGUCAGUGAUCUGUCUGGCCCUCAUCGACUCUGCCUUGUUGAUCAUCACUGAUUAUAGCCCACACGAAAAUCGACCCUUGAACUUGUUUGGAAUAAUAUUCCCUGUUGAAUAUCAUAGUCGAUGGAUUAAUUCUAUCGGUGUUGCAGUUUUGACCUAAACAAACGGCCCUUUUCAGGGCCACCAAUAUGUUAAAGAGUUGACGAAUAAAUAUAUUCCCUAGCAAAUAAAUUAUAAACCCAAAACUGCUGCACAAUAUCGUACCCUAAAUGUUACAAAUACGUAAUUAGAAAUUAUAAAUGUUGAG